rnacentral:rRNA from 1 species
AGAGUUUGAUUCUGGCUCAGAACGAACGCUGGCGGCGUGUUUAAGACAUGCAAGUCGCACGGGAUUUUUCCAAGUAGCAAUACGCGGGAAAGUUUAGUGGCGCACGGGUGAGUAACAUGUGAAUUACAUGCCCUAUAGUGGGGAAUAGCCCAGGGAAACUUGGAUUAAUACCCCAUAGUCUCGCAAGAGUAAAGGUGGCCAGCAGCGAUGUUGGCUGUCGCUAUAGGAUUGGUUCGCACCCUAUCAGCUUGUUGGCGGGGUAACGGCCCACCAAGGCUACGACGGGUACCUGGUCUGAGAGGACGAUCAGGCACACUGGAACUGAGACACGGUCCAGACACCUACGGGUGGCAGCAGUCGAGAAUAAUUCACAAUGGGGGCAACCCUGAUGGUGCAACGCCGCGUGGAGGAUGACGGUCUUCGGAUUGUAAACUCCUGUCAUCCGGGAGUAAGACCUGGUCGUUAAUAGCGAACAGGGUUGAUAGUACCGGAAGAGGAAGGGACGGCUAACUUCGUGCCAGCAGCCGCGGUAAUACGAAGGUCCCAAGCGUUGUUCGGAAUCACUGGGCGUAAAGGGAGCGUAGGCGGCGUGGUAAGUCAGAUGUGAAAUCCCGGGGCUCAACCCCGGAACUGCAUCCGAUACUGCCGUGCUAGAGGAUUGGAGAGGUAGCUGGAAUUCUUGGUGUAGCAGUGAAAUGCGUAGAGAUCAAGAGGAACACUCGUGGCGAAAGCGAGCUACUGGACAAUAUCUGACGCUGAGGCUCGAAGGCCAGGGUAGCGAAAGGGAUUAGAUACCCCUGUAGUCCUGGCAGUAAACGGUGCACGCUUGGUGUGAGGGGAAUCGACCCCCCUUGUGCCGGAGCUAACGCGUUAAGCGUGCCGCCUGGGAAGUACGGUCGCAAGACUAAAACUCAAAGAAAUUGACGGGGACCCGCACAAGCGGUGGAGUAUGUGGCUUAAUUCGAUGCAACGCGAAGAACCUUACCAAGGCUUGACAUGGAUUUCUAAGCGCGUGAAAGCGCGUGACCCUUCGGGGGACUUCCACAGGUGCUGCAUGGCCGUCGUCAGCUCGUGUCGUGAGAUGUUGGGUUAAGUCCCGCAACGAGCGCAACCCU